rnacentral:rRNA from 1 species
AAAGAGACUGCCGGUGUUAAACCCGGAGGAAAGGUGGGGAUGACGUCAAGUCCUCAUGGCCUUUAUGUCCAGGGCUACACACGUGCUACAAUGGGUCGUACAAAGGGUCGCCACUCCGCGAGGAGGAGCUAAUCCCAAAAAAGCGGCUCUCAGUUCGGAUCGGAGUCUGCAACUCGACUCCGUGAAGUUGGAAUCGCUAGUAAUCGUGGAUCAGCAUGCCACGGUCGAAUACGUUCCGGGCCUU